GAUGAACGCUGGCGGCGUGCCUAAUACAUGCAAGUCGAGCGAACAGACGAGGAGCUUGCUCCUCUGACGUUAGCGGCGGACGGGUGAGUAACACGUGGAUAACCUACCUAUAAGACUGGGAUAACUUCGGGAAACCGGAGCUAAUACCGGAUAAUAUAUUGAACCGCAUGGUUCAAUAGUGAAAGACGGUUUUGCUGUCACUUAUAGAUGGAUCCGCGCCGCAUUAGCUAGUUGGUAAGGUAACGGCUUACCAAGGCGACGAUGCGUAGCCGACCUGAGAGGGUGAUCGACCACACUGGAACUGAGACACGGUCCAGACUCCUACGGGAGGCAGCAGUAGGGAAUCUUCCGCAAUGGGCGAAAGCCUGACGGAGCAACGCCGCGUGAGUGAUGAAGGUCUUCGGAUCGUAAAACUCUGUUAUUAGGGAAGAACAAAUGUGUAAGUAACUAUGCACGCCUUGACGGUACCUAAUCAGAAAGCCACGGCUAACUACGUG
rnacentral:rRNA from 1 species